CAAAUUCAAAAGAUGAACUUUGUGCGCCAAACCCCAAAUUUAGGGUUUUAGCCCAGCGGAGUUGCAGGAGAGAGAGAGAGAGAGAGAGAGAGAGAGAGAGAGAGAUGGAGGAGAGAGACGAUUACAAGUUCCUGAAGCUGAGGGACGCCAUCUCCUGCCUCAAUCAAAGAGUGAACUUGGUCGGCGUCGUUCUCGAGCUCGGCCUCCCCAAGAAAAGCAAAGGAACCGAUUUCUUUAUCUCGCUAAAAAUAGCGGAUGAAUCCUAUUCGGAUCCUGGAAUUUCAGUCAACUUCUUUGCUGAAAGUGUAGAGAAGCUUCCCAUGGGUGCCUCACCAGGAGAUAUAAUCCUGCUCUCUCAUGUUGUGAUGAAAACACAUGAACGCGAAGUAUAUGCUUUCUUUAAUAAGAAAUUCUCUUCAUUUGCUUUAUAUGAGGGCGUAAGUGGUGGAGACUUCACUCCUUAUCAAGUUUCUGCAAGAUUUCGAACUAGAGAACUGGAUAAGAAGUUCAUAGCAGACCUUAGAAAGUGGUUUACUGGUUUUCAGCUCAAUACAGAUCCAAAUGAUUUCCAAUUCUUGAGAGAGAUCAAGGAAGGUCAACGCCUGAGUCUAAUUUGCAAGAUUCUUCACACACGUGAGGUUGCAGAAAAGGAGUGGAUUAUCUUUGUUUGGGAUGGAACUGAUGCCCCCAGUAAAAAAAUUCAGACGAAGAUGACUGAUGAGAUGGACAAUCCACUCCCAUUACAUUUGGGAAAAGAGCCACUGCCUAGAGACAUACUCUGUACCUUUCCCUCUGUUGGGAGUGUCCUGACGGUGGUGUUGGGUGAAGGCAACAAAAAUCUUGGUCUUGGUUUCUUGAAGACUGGCACUUGGUUAAACUUUCUCAAUAUCGUCUGUGAAGUCCAUGCAGGGCUUUGGCGCGGUGUCUUGAUGCCCUUCACAAAACUUCGUUAUGUGCCUAAGGAGGACCGCUACGUGUUGGGUUGCCAAAGGUGUUAUGAAGAACGAUUGUCAGAGAAAUGGGGUCGCAUGCCGUGGUCUUGCUUUCCUGCACCAUCGACAGUUACAGGUUUGAUCUCUUUUUAUGUGGUCAACUGUUACUACGGCCCUGUUUUAGGAUUGCAGGCAUGCACUAUUUGUCUGCUACACCGUUUUCUACAUGUCUGCAAUUAUAUAAUCAUCAAUCAAUUUGUCUUGUCCCUUGUGGCCUGGACAAAAAAAGAGAUGUGUGGGUGUUUGGUGAGGCUUUUGCUUUUAACUUUCACCAUUUUAUUUUUAGAGAUCAUAUCUAAAUUGUUAAACACCUAAAAUUCCUAGAGAUGCAUGUAUUUUAGCACUUAAUGACCCCAAAAUUAAUGACUUAAAGUCAAACCAAACAGGACCUUAUCUUUUCCCUAAGCAAAAAUAUCUUUUCACUUGAGUAAAUGGCGGUAUUGUCGCCAUAGAGAAUUGCAGAAUGGUCAUAUUAGUUAAUUUGGGUAUAACUCAUUUAGUUUAAAUUAAUCCAGGAUGCAUCUGUUUGUUUGGUUCAUCAACAUAAGUUCCCAAUGUACAUCAGAAUCAGGAAUUUCAAUUUUUCGCUUUACAGCUUCUGUAAUUAUGAGGACUGUUCACCCAUAAUCUUGAUGAAUUUUAACUCUAUCAGAGGUUGAGCAUGAUCAUGUGCUGCCUGUUACAUUAAGGGAUGUUCUCACCUAUCCUGAGGUUACUGCCAAGUUUAAGUGUG